UACGGGGGGGGUAAGCGUUGUUCGGAAUUACUGGGCGUAAAGGGCUCGUAGGCGGCCAACUAAGUCAGACGUGAAAUCCCUCAGCUUAACUGGGGAACUGCGUCUGAUACUGGAUGGCUUGGAUUCGGGAGAGGAAUGCGGAAUUCCCGGUGUAGCGGUGAAAUGCGCAGAUAUCGGGAAGAACACCCGUGGCGAAGGCGGCUCUCUGGAACGCAACUGACGCUGAGACGCGAAAGCGUGGGGAGCAAACAGG
rnacentral:rRNA from 1 species